CGGCGGUUAUUCGAACGGAUACAGAAGUCGGCCUUUCAAGCCGAUCAAGCAGGGUUCAACUCCCGCACCGUCGA
rnacentral:tRNA from 1 species